AAAAAUAACUAGGGGUGCUGAAAAAGCUGAGAGAGUAAAAUUUACUUAACCCUUUGAACCUGUCUUGGGUAAUUCCAACGUAGGGAAGUGAGCUUGUAAGUAU
rfam:Clostridium butyricum E4 str. BoNT E BL5262 CLP.Contig65, whole genome shotgun sequence.